UACAGAGGGUGCGAGCGUUAAUCGGAAUUACUGGGCGUAAAGCGUGCGUAGACGGUUAUUUAAGUCGGGUGUGAAAGCCCCGGGCUCAACCUGGGAAUUGCAUUCGAGACUGAAUAGCUAGCGUACGGUAGAGGGAAGUGGAAUUUCCGGUGUAGCGGUGAAAUGCGUAGAUAUCGGAAGGAACAUCAGUGGCGAAGGCGGCCAUCUGGAUCAACACUGACGCUGAGGCACGAAAGCGUGGGGAGCAAACAGG
rnacentral:rRNA from 1 species